GAGGAACAGCAGCAACAACAGCAGCAGCAGCAGCAGCAGGUCCUGAGGUGUGGGUGGGAGGGUGAGGGAGUGCCGCCCCCGCCUGCUAAUUGGCUGCCGGCGAUCCUGUUAGCGUGAGUGUGUGCGUGAGUGUGUGUCGGCGGGGCUCAUGGGGCGGGGGCGGGCCCCCCCGCACAGGCCCGCCCCUCACCUUUAAGGCCACGCGGCCAGACGUGUUGCCGCGCCCAUGCCCGUCGACCCCGCCCACCACCGCCUGCUGCACGGGCGGGGGGCGCGGCCCCUGCCCCGCUACACGCCGCUGCCCUCCACCGAGGACCGGCCGCCCUCGCUGCCCCUGUACAGCGAGGUGCGCCUCGGCAUGGGGGGCCGCCCUGCCGUCCACGUGAGGGCGCCCGUGCCCCGCCCCUGCCACCGCCUGCGUGGCCCCGCCGCCCACACUGGCCCUGGCCAUGGCACGCGCUACACCAAGCUGACGCCCGUGCGGGAGGAGCCGCCCUCCCUGGCGGGCGGCGGGCCGGGCCUGCUGCGGGCCGUGGCCUCGCGAGGACGCGGCUACGAGGACCUGCGGUGUCGCGGGGCGGGAGGCGACGCCCCAGAUAGCGGGGGCAGCUCGCCGCUGUCCUCCCCCAGGGUGUCCCCCAGGGGCUCCCCCGCCCCGCCCAGGCGCAAGACGUCAGGGAUCCUCAUCACCUCCGCCCUGGCCCGCUCCGGCCUCAGACGCCUCACCAGGGUCUCCUUCGGGUCCAGCAAGGGAUCUAUGGUGGAGACCCUUAUCUACGACUCCCCCGUGGGCGAGGAAGAAAGGAUACCGGAAGAGGAGGACACACAGGUCACCAGCCCCUCUGCCUUCAAGGACCCUGUCUCGCAGAAAUUUGGGACCGAGACAGGCGCCCAGCAGAAGCCAGCGUCCAAAGUCCGUGUGACCUUUUAUGAGAGCUCCCGGCCCCUCGUGGUGACCUCCCCGGAGCCAUCUGACCUUGACCUCUACUCGCCUGACCUCCUGAUGGCUUCCCCACCCGCUGACCCCGCCAUGCCUGGGUUCGACAGACAGCUCAGCACCGAGAGUGGGCGGGAUAACCCAUUUCGACCAGGCGGGGACAUCAGCAAAGAAGCGGAUCAGAUUGUGGAGGCUAUCAAAUCUGGCCGUCCUCUUCUAACCCCUGAUACUACAGACACCCCGACAGCCCCCACGCCCACUACUGACGCCCAGAUUAUCCCCACACAAGCCCCCACGAGUCUGCAGGCCCAGUCCCCACCAGAGAGCCCCAUCAGUAAAGGAGGCAAUGCUGGGGUGAAUGGCUCGACCCCAGCGGAAGCCCCCCAGUCAAAUUCAGGCACUGUUGAGGUGAAGCAUGUAACAGUGACGCCUUCUGAUCAGGGCCACGUGGAAAGAGUCGUUAUUAAGAAGAAGAAUAAGUGUAGCUGUUGUGUUAUUCAGUGAGUGUGUCUGUGUGUGUGUGUGUGUGUGUGUCUGUGUAAACCUGUAUUUUUUAAACGCUUUGUUCUGUCACUUAUUCUUUUCCAAGGCCUCCAGGUGAAGAUCCUCGUGUUUUUUUUCCAGUGUUUUGUCGGGUUUGAGAGGAGAUACUGCCUUGUAAACCUGUCUGGAUGUGUUUUUAGCCUUGGAAUAUUGUUUUAGUGAGAGACCAGGGCGUUUUUUUAUGCUGGCCUGUGUGUGUGUGUGUGUGUGCGUGUGUGUUAUUUUUUGUUCCUAUAUCUCAUAUGUGUGUGUGUGUGUGUGUGUGUGUGUGUGUGUGUAGGUUAUAAUAAAGGUGCAUAAGUUUAAUAUUAAUUGUGGACAGGGUGUGUGUGUGUGUGUGUGUGUGUGUGUGUGUGUGUGUGUGUGUGUGCGUGCUUUUUAAUGUAAUAAUUGCAAAAAAAACGCUUUCCAAUUUGUAUUUAAGUUUAUUAUUGUUUUGUGUGUGUGCGUGUGCGUGCGUGCGUGUGUGUGUGUGUGUGUGUGUGUGUGUGUGUGUGUGUGGGUGUGUGUGGGUGUGACGUAUGU
rnacentral:misc_RNA from 1 species